rnacentral:rRNA from 1 species
GCAAGUCGAGCGGAAACGAUAGGAGCUUGCUCCCAGGCGUCGAGCGGCGGACGGGUGAGUAACACUUAGGAAUCUACCUAUUAGUGGGGGAUAGCUCGGGGAAACUCGAAUUAAUACCGCAUACUUCCUACGGAAGAAAGGGGGCACUUUGGUGCUCUCGCUAUUAGAUGAGCCUAAGUCGGAUUAGCUAGUUGGUGGGGUAAAGGCCUACCAAGGCGACGAUCUGUAGCUGGUCUGAGAGGAUGAUC